UCUCGCAUCGAUGAAGAACGUAGCGAAAUGCGAUACUUGGUGUGAAUUGCAGAAUCCCGUGAACCAUCGAGUCUUUGAACGCAAGUUGCGCCUGAAGCCAUUAGGCCAAGGCACGUCUGCCUGGGCGUCACG
rnacentral:rRNA from 1 species